rnacentral:rRNA from 1 species
AAACUUUUAACAACGGAUCUCUUGGUUCUGGCAUCGAUGAAGAACGCAGCGAAAAUGCGAUAAGUAAUGUGAAUUGCAGAAUUCAGUGAAUCAUCGAAUCUUUGAACGCACAUUGCGCCCGCCAGCAUUCUGGCGGGCAUGCCUGUUCGAGCGUCAUU